rnacentral:rRNA from 1 species
AUUGAACGCUGGCGGCAGGCCUAACACAUGCAAGUCGAGCGGAUGACAGGAGCUUGCUCCUGAAUUCAGCGGCGGACGGGUGAGUAAUGCCUAGGAAUCUGCCUGGUAGUGGGGGACAACGUUUCGAAAGGAACGCUAAUACCGCAUACGUCCUACGGGAGAAAGCAGGGGACCUUCGGGCCUUGCGCUAUCAGAUGAGCCUAGGUCGGAUUAGCUAGUUGGUGAGGUAAAGGCUCACCAAGGCGACGAUCCGUAACUGGUCUGAGAGGAUGAUCAGUCACACUGGAACUGAGACACGGUCCAGACUCCUACGGGAGGCAGCAGUGGGGAAUAUUGGACAAUGGGCGAAAGCCUGAUCCAGCCAUGCCGCGUGUGUGAAGAAGGUCUUCGGAUUGUAAAGCAC